CCGGGGGGCCGGGCAGCCGCGUCGUCAGUUCGUCUGAUGCCGAGGAAAGUCCGGGCUCCACGAAACAAGGGUGGCGGGUAACACCCGCCGGGCCGGAAGCGUCAGCCGACGGUCAAGGGAAAGUGCCACAGAGAGCAGACCGCCCCUUCUCGAAGGGGUAAGGGUGAAAGGGUGCGGCAAGAGCGCACCGCGCGACCGGCAACGGAAGCGGCACGGCAAACCCCACCCGGAGCAAGAUCGAAUAGGGACCGCGCGCCUCGUUUGCGCGAGGCAGGCCAGUUUCGGGCCAGCGGUCCGGGUUGAUUGCUUGAGCAGUCCGGCAACGGCCUGCCUAGAGGAAUGGCUGCCAGCGGCGAUACGGUGCGCUCAAUCGCAUACCGUCGGCGCUACAGAACCCGGCUUACAGGCCCCCUGGCGCA
rnacentral:RNase_P_RNA from 1 species